ACCAAACAGCUAGCUUAAUCACAACCUCUUAAUAAAACUUCAACCUAAAACAUUUACCACACUAGUAUAGGCGAUAGAAAAACAAUCAAUAGCAAUAGUAAAGUACCGUAAGGGAAAGCUGAAAAAGAAAUUAAAUAAAACAUAAAAGUAUAAAAAAGCAAGAAUAAACUCCUGUACCUUUUGCAUCAUGGUCUAGUUAGUCUACUGAGGCAAAAAGACCUUUAGUCUCCCCCCCCGAAACCAAGUGAGCUAUUUAAAAGCAGCUAUAUGAGCAAACCCGUCUAUGUGGCAAAAUAGUGGGAAGACUUUUAAAUAGAGGUGAUAAGCCUAACGAACCUGGUGAUAGCUGGUUAUUCAAUAAAAAAGUCUAAGCUUACCCUUAAAUCUUAUUUAAGUACUACAUAACAACAAUAAAAAUUUAAGAGCUAUUCAUAAGGGGUACAGCCCUUAUGAAAAAGGAGACAACCUACCAAAUUGGAUAAUGAUAACAACUAAUAAAUAAAGUAGGCCUAAAAGCAGCCACCUGUAAAAGAAAGCGUCAUAGCUCAAAAAACCUCUAACCUUUAAAUCCAAAUAAAAAAUCAAAAUCCACACACUACAUUGAAUUAAAUCAUAUAAUAUGAUUGAACUAAUGCUAGAACUAGUAAUAAGAAAACACGAUUUUCUCAACGCGAACAUGUAAGUCAGAUCGAACCAAUCCCUGAUAAUUAUCGAUCCCACCAAUGGAAAUAAGCACUAAUUAUAAACAAGAAAAAUCUUACACACAAACUCGUUAACCCUACACAGGUUCGCAUAACAGAAAGAUAAAAAGAUAAAGAAGGAACUCGGCAAACACAAGCCUCGCCUGUUUACCAAAAACAUUGCCUCUAGCUAAACUAGUAUUAGAGGUACUGCCUGCCCAGUGAUAUUAAUUCAACGGCCGCGGUAUCCUGACCGUGCAAAGGUAGCAUAAUCACUUGUCUUUUAAAUAAAGACUAGUAUGAACGGCAAAACGAAGGCUAAACUGUCUCCUUUGUCUAAUCAAUGAAACUGAUCUCCUGGUACAAAAGCCAGAAUAACAAAAUAAGACGAGAAGACCCUAUGGAGCUUUAAACAAAAUAGAAAGUGUACAUAACUAUACCUAUUCUAUACUGUUUUCGGUUGGGGCGACCACGGAGCAAACAAACCCUCCGAGCCCAAAUAGUCAAGAGAAACCACCCAAAACACCAGAACCCUGUACUAAUUGACCCAAUUACUUUUGAUCAACGAACCAAGUUACCCUAGGGAUAACAGCGCAAUCCUCUUUAAGAGCCCAUAUCGACAAGAGGGCUUACGACCUCGAUGUUGGAUCGGGAUAACCUGACAGCGCAACAGUCGUCAAUGGUUUGUUUGUUCAACAAUUAAAAUCCCACGUGAUCUGAGUUCAGACCGGAGUAAUCCAGGUCAGUUUCUAUCUAUUAAGUGAUUUUUUCUAGUACGAAAGGACCGAAAAAAUAAGGCCAAUAUAAAAUACACGCCUUCACAAAACUAAUGAAACCAACUAAAACACACACAAAACGAACCCAAAAAUAACGGGCU
rnacentral:rRNA from 1 species